AUAAAAAUUCUUGACGGAUAUAUAGAUUUUUUAUGUAGGCUAUUCAAUACAAUCUUAUAGGAGAUAUUACAUUUAACAUAAGAUCGCCUUUUUGGUAACAAAAAAAAUUAAAAAUUUUAAAUAACAUAAUGAAUUGAAACAUCUCAGUAAUUAUGGAUUAUAAACAAACCUGAAUUUUAUUAGUAGUGGUGAGCGAACAUAAAAUAUUUUAAUAUUCUUAACAAAUAAAACUAUUAUAAUAGUGUGUCAGAAGUUAAAACCUUGUAAUUUGUUAAUAUAUUACUAGAAGGUAUAUGGAAGGCUUUGAUCUGUAAUUAGAUUGGAGUACCACCUUCAAUAUUAAACACAUAAAAAAAUCGAUAGCGAAAAAGUACCGUGAGGGAACUAUGAAAAGCACUCGAUCUAAAGAGGUUGAAAUAGAUCUUGAAAUCAAGAAUUUAAAAGCAUUUGAUGUUUUUCAAGGAAAAAUACCAAAGUACCUUUUGUAUCAUGGAUCAACGAGAUAAAUGAAAAAGCAAGCUUAUAUAUUAUAUAGCAUAGCGAAAGCAAAUUUUAAAUCGUUUGAGUUUUUUCAUUUAAACCCGAAACCUAGUGAUCUAAUCAUGAGCAGAUUGAAAUGAGUUAACAACUUUUGGAGGAUCGAACCCUUUUCUGUUGCAUCAGAAUGGGAUGACUUGUGAUUAGGGGUGAAAGGCUAAUCAAACUAGGAGAUAGCUGGUUUUCUGCGAAAUGUAUUUAGGUACCGUGAUAGUUUUGUUUCCUGGUCGUAAAGCAAGAAGCGGGAUAUAAAAGCUUUUAAUCAAGCUACUCAUUCAAACUCUAAAGACAGGGAAAUUUAUCUAUUAUACAGACUUUGGGUGCUAAGGUCCUUGGUCUAAAGGAGAAGAGUCCUCACACUCAGCUAAGGACCGCAAUAAAACUUAAGUCAAAGAUAUCUUAUUACAAAGACAAAACGGAUGUAGGCUUUCAAGCAGCCAUCUUUUAAAGAAAGCGUUACAGCUCACGUUUCAAGUACAAGAUAUUACAAAUAAAGGAUUUUUCGUUUUAUCCAAAGCUAGUGAAUUUUAUUUUGAUAGCAGAAUCCUUAGUUUUUAAUGGAUAAUUUAGUAAUAUUUUAUUUUAAAUCUAAGUGAAAAAUGUUGAUAUCAGUAGUUUUUAUAACGAUUAUGUUAUCGCCAAAGUUUAAAGGUUUCCUUAUCCAUUCUUUAAAGAUAAGGGUUAUACGUCCUCUCAUGUUUUAGCGAAAGCAACAACAAAGGAGUUUGAUGAUUAAAAAUCAUUUGUUUUAAUAUUGUGACAAAAAUUUAAAAACUAAUUCUUACAUAUAAAGCGGACUAGUUUUCAUAUUUUUCCAGAAAAAGCAGUUAAAAUAAAACGUACUAAAACCGACACUGGUAAACUAGUAAAUUACUGCGGCGAUGGAUUAACUAUACUAAAGGAACUCGGCAAAUUCAAUCUGUAACUUUUGGAGAAAGAUUAUCAUAAUUUUCCUUGUUUUUAUAACAAGCGUAAAUACCAUAAGAGUUAGAGUAUCAAAGAAAUUAUAUGAUAUAAAGCACAGUAUUUUCUUUCAUUUUCUUUAUAGAAAAUUACUCGUGAAAUCUUAUGUGUGAUGGCACAGAAUAGAGGGUAGCGACUGUUUAUUAAAAACACAGGACUCUGCUAAGUAUAAAUAUGAUGUAUAGGGUCUGAGACCUGCCCGGUGUCAGUAGGUAAACGAGACUGAUUAUCUUUAAGUCUCUUUCAGAUAAUUUAAUUUGUUAGUCUCUUAAAUCACUGGUAAACGGCGGCUGUAACUAUGACGGUCCUAAGGUAGCGAAAUUCCUUGUCGGGUAAGUUCCGACGUGCACGAAUGGUGUAACGACUUCCCUACUGUCUCUAGUGUAGAUCCAAUGAAAUUGGAAUUAUUGUGAAGAUACGAUAUAGAAAUAGCCAGACGGAAAGACCCUGUGAACCUUUACUAUAUGCUUUUAUUUUUUAUUCUUGGGGUAAUAUUAAGUUUAUUAUGCAAGCUUAUCGAAAUAUUCAUUUUCAUGAUAUUUAGGCGUUCCUGCGAAACAUCUUAUUACUAUGGUCUAAAAAUUUUUAAUGAAAGCUGGUUAGUUUGACUGGGGCGGUAGCCUCCCAAAUCGUAACGGAGUGCGUACAAAAGAUUUGUUACGUUUAGAUUUAUCUACACGAUAGCGCAAGGGCUAAUACUUGUCUGACUGUUUGAAUGACAAUUCAUUCAGGGAUUUAUUUUUAAAUCGGUCCUAGUAAUCCAAUCUUAACCUGUGGGCGUAGGAUUGCCAACGAAUAAAAGGUACUCCGGGGAUAACAGGCUGAUAAUUCCUUAGAGUACCUAUCGACGGAAUUGUUUGGCACCUCGAUGUCGGCUCAUCACAUCCUGAGACUGAAAAGGGCCUCAAGGGUUCGGUUGUUCACCGAUUAAUAGUGGUACGUGAGCUGGGUUUAGAACGUCGUGAGACAGUUCGGUCCCUAUCUACUAUUUCAUAAGACGUAAAAGUUGUUCUGUCUAGUACGAAAGGACUGGUGGAACGAUUCCUCUGGUUUUUGAGCUGUUUGCGCACGCUCAUUCGCUACGAAUCUUUUAUUAAUCGCUGAAAGCAUCUAAGCGAGAAAUAAUACUUUAAGUCUUUUUAACCGUUGU
rnacentral:rRNA from 1 species